rnacentral:lncRNA from 1 species
UUGCUCAAAUGUUAUGGGUAUUUAUUAUUUGUAUGAAUAGUAUUAGAAUUAUUCUAUAAAAACUGACUUCGUAUGAACAAUUAUGUACAGUAUAUGUUAUAUGUUUCCUAAUAGAUACAAAGUUUUUAUCAUUGCCUGAUAAUUUUGUCACUCUUUUUAUUGACAAACUGGUUUGUUGAAAUUCAAUCACUAUUGUUGUAAAAAUCAAGUCAUUUUUGGCAAUACCAAUCAAGUGUUAGUUUAAAAAUCAGUCUCAUAAUGAAAACUUUACUUUCAUACUUUUAACAAACAUUAUUUGUGUAAAACAAAUUACUCAGACUGACUGAAAAACUGAUAAAAUAAUGACGUUUUCAACUCUUAUGGGAUAAAGGGACAUAACUCAAUGUGAAUUUACUCUGAUUAUCUCAAAAAUAUCAUAUUCCUAUAUAGGUGCAAUAAUAUUUUCUAUUUAUUUUAUGAAAUAAAUAAACAUGUCCAUAGUUAUUUUUAGUACCAAUUUAUUUAUAUUUUUUCUACAAUUUUUUUUAUAACAACUAUAUAUUAUUGUGUAAAUCUGUUUUGUGAUAUUAAUUGUCUGUGAUUUUCUUGUAUUUUUUGUUUUAUUUUUAUACACACAUUCAGUAGAGUAAUUUGCUUACCUGUAAAUGUUUUGCGACAUACACAUUAUAUUAUUAAAA